rnacentral:scRNA from 1 species
CUGGCCUGGGGACAUUUCUUAUUUAAACCACAAGUAGCAUCUGACAGAGUGCCCUAACAGGACACACAGCAAUCUCCCUCUUAGUUUAGGAAAGUCUCCUUAAGAAUAGGGCUUUUAAAGGCAUAAGAGGAUAGU